UCUGGUUGAUCCUGCCAGAAACAUUUGCUUGAAUUUAAGAUUAAGCCAUGCAUGUGAAAGUUAAUAUGAAAGAGAAGCCGCGAAUAGCUCAUUAAACCACACAUAAUCUAUCGAGAUAAUAUUUGGAUAUCUGAGGUAAUUCUUUAGCUAAUACACGCAACAAAGCUCCGAUUGAGGAGUAGGGUUUAUCAGCAAAGAAUCAAACUAGCGUGAGCUAGUUACCGAGGACUCAAAUAAUCAAUCUGAAUAAGUCAUGGGCUUAUAAAUAGGAUGAAAGUGUGACUUAUCAACUGACAACCGUGGUAUAUUUGACCACGGUGGUAUUGACGAGUAACAGAGAAUUUGGGUUCGAUUCUGGAGAGGGAGCUUUAAAGAUAGCUACCACAUCUAAGGAAGGCAGCAGGCACGCAAAUUACCCAAUUGUCGAUGACAGAGGUAGUAAUAAUAAAUAACAAUACAGGACUCGUCCGAGGCCUUGUAAUUGGAAUGUUUUUAAGAUAAAGACAUGAAGGAGGAACUAUUAGAGGGCAAGUCUGGUGCCAGCAGCCGCGGUAAUUCCAGCUCUAAUAGCGUAUUUUAAUGUUGUUGCGGUUGAAAAGCUCGUAGUUGGAUAUCAUUGAUUGUAUAAGUUCAAUGUGAAUUGUUCUUAUACAGGAGAGGGAAGUCAAGCGGUGAAAAUAAACUUGAAUGUUUAUAUCCACAUAACGCCUGGCUUAAGUUACUUUGAAUAAAUCAAAGUGCUCAAUACAAGCUUUUGCUUGAAUAUAUGUGCAUGGGAUAACGCAAGAAGAUCAAUAUCGAAUCUGUUGGUUGAAUCGAUAUGGGUAAUGAUUAAUAGAGAUUGACGGGGGCAUUUGUAUUUGAAAGCGAGAGGUGAAAUUCUGUGACCUUUCAAAGACAUGCUAAAGCGAAAGCACUUGCCAAGAAUGUUUUCACUAAUCAAGAACGAAGGUUAGAGGCUCGAAGGCGAUUAGAUACCGCCCUAGUUCUAACCAUAAACAACGCCAACUAACAAUCUUGUGUAGUUUAAGUUGAAACUAACAAGGAAGUUUUCGGAAAACCAAAGUUUUUGGGUUCCGGGGGUAGUAUGGUUGCAAAGCUGAAACUUAAAGUAAUUGACGGAGUGACACCACCAGGAGUGGAGCCUGUGGCUUAAUUUGACCCAACACGGGGAAGCUCACCAGGGCAAGACACUAUUAGGAUUGACAGAUUGAUAGCUCUUUCUCGAUAAAGUGGGUGGUGGUGCAUGGCCGUUCUUAGUUGGUGGAGUGAUUUGUCUGGUUAAUCCCGAUAACGAACGAGACUCUGACCAAUUACUAGUGAAAUCUUUUGAAAAGAAAGUUACCGCAGUAAUGCAGUUUCAUUCGAGAUUUUACUUCUUAAGGGGACACGCUAUUGUGAAUAGCACGAGGAAGAGCAAUAACAGGUCUGUGAUGCCCUUAGAUGUUCUGGGCUGCACACGCGCUACAAUAAAUUAAUCAACAAGUUCUCCGUUUUGACAGAUGCGGGCAAACUUUUGAAAUUAAUUUAUGGUAGGAAUGGGAACUUGCAAUUAUUUUCCCUGAACUAGGAAUUCCU
rnacentral:rRNA from 1 species